rnacentral:snoRNA from 12 species
AGGUCAUUUCAAAGAGGGAAUUUGGGGGGCUGAAGCCAAGAGCUCUUAACACUGUGACCAAAUAUUGAAAUUCUCUAUAGGAUGUAAUGGUCACUCAAUAGUGCUGUGGUUUCCUGAGGAGAUAUGAGA